rnacentral:lncRNA from 1 species
UAGGGGUUCGGAUCCCGGCCGCGAGAUUUCUGAUCACGAUUGUUAAAAUGAGUCUGCGGAAGCAAACACCCAGCGACUUCCUGAAGCAAAUCAUCGGGCGACCAGUUGUGGUGAAAUUAAAUUCGGGAGUGGAUUAUCGAGGGGUCCUGGCGUGCCUGGAUGGCUACAUGAAUAUAGCCUUGGAGCAGACAGAGGAGUAUGUAAAUGGACAGCUGAAGAAUAAGUACGGGGAUGCAUUUAUCCGAGGAAACAAUGUGUUGUAUAUAAGUACACAGAAGAGGAGGAUGUGA